CCCUAGUGACCGAUAGUGAACCAGUACCGUGAGGGAAAGGUGAAAAGCACCCCGGG
rnacentral:rRNA from 1 species